rnacentral:rRNA from 1 species
UACGUAGGGGGCAAGCGUUGUCCGGAAUCAUUGGGCGUAAAGAGCGUGUAGGCGGUUCGAUAAGUCGGCUGUGAAAGUCCAGGGCUCAACCCUGGGAUGCCGGUCGAAACUGUCGGACUAGAGUUCGGAAGAGGCGAGUGGAAUUCCCGGUGUAGUGGUGAAAUGCGUAGAUAUCGGGAGGAACACCAGUGGCGAAGGCGACUACCUGGCCUGUUCUUGACGCUGAGGCGCGAAAGCUAGGGGAGCAAACGGG